CAGACUUCUGUUGUAAAACGAUAAUAAAACCUCUAACCUCAUCACCUACAGUGCUAAGCUAAAAUUGUGUCGUGGUUCUUGUCGUUUCCAGGGCAACUACAACCAAGGCAGCUACAACCAGGGCGGCUACAAUCAGGGCAGCUACAACCAGAGCUACUACAGCCAGUACCCGGGCUACAGCCAGAGCUACAGUCAGCCGGCCGCCGCCGCCGCCGCCGCCACAGGGCAGAGCUACACCCAGACCCAGCAGACCCAGCAGCCCCAGCAGCAGGCUCAGCAGGCCCCGCAGACGCAGCAGGCCCAGGCGGCCCAGCCACAGACCCAGCAGAACUACAACCAGCAGUACCAGCAGGUAAUACCAGUGACUCAAACGACAGAGCUACGACCCGCCGUACCAGCAGGUAAUACCAGUGACUCAAACAACAGAGCUACGACCAGCUGUACCAGCAGGUAAUACCAGUGACUCAAACGACAGAGCUACGACCUGCCGUACCAGCAGGUAAUACCAGUGACUCAAACGACAGAGCUACGAUCGGUUGUAGCAGCAGGUAAUACCAGUGACUCAAACGACAGAGCCACGACCAGCCGUACCAGCAGGUAAUACCAGUGACUCAAACGACAGAGCUACGACCGGUUGUAUCAGCAGGUAAUACUAAUGAUUAGGGCCCAAUCCCAUUUCUACCCCUUACCCCUCUGCCUUGUUUUGAAGGUGGAAGGGGUAAGGGGUAGAAAUGGGAUUGGGCCUAAAACUACAACCGGUUGUAUCAGCGCGUAGGGUAAUUAUAUGUGCUGUCAGUUUAAACGCUUUAUUAACAGCGUUAACGCAAACCAAUUUUAACGGCGUUAAUAUUUUAAUCGCGUGAUUAACGCAAUUUUUCUUUUUUUUUUUUUUGGGCUCAAAACAAAGAAGCAGUAGCCUGACUGCUAUGUUCAAGGCAGUAUGUUUGUAUGUUCAUCGUUUAAUUGCACUAUAGGCAUUUUUUUUGUAUCGUCCUGUUUUGAUCAGUAUAUGCCAAUGUUGUUAUCAAUAAAAAAAACAUUUGCACAAGGCAAGCCGAUGCACUUUUCCAUGUUGAUAAGAGCAUUAAAAUGAGAAAUGAAUGGGACAAAGAAAUCUAGGGAUAUUUCGCAUAGAAAAAAUAAUUGUGAUUAAUCGCGAGUUAAUCGCAUUAAUGACAUUAAUGCGAUUAAUCGUGAUUAAAUAUUUUAAUCGCUUGACAGCACUAGUAAUUAUUAAGUCUUUCGGUGGCUAGAGUCAGGGGUAUUAUUUCUGGCAUGUUCCACUAUGUUCUGGAGAUAUUGAUAAUAAACUGUCUGCCUCUCUCCUCCUCUCUCCCCCAGUAUGCGCAGCAGUGGCAGCAGUACUACCAGAACCAGAGCCAGUGGAACCAGUAUUACAGCCAGUAUGGGAACUACGGCCAGGGCAACCAGGGAUCCUCGGGCUCCCAGUGACAUCCUCGCCCCAAGAUCCUCGUCCCCCUAACCCCCCCGCUGCCCUGAAGGCCCGGUCUGUACAGUCUCACCUGACAUGGACUCUAGCCCCGAUCCCUCCCUGCUAGUCCUCCCUCCAGGUAGCCCCCUGUCCUGCCCUCCCCUGGUCCGUUCACGCAGAGCCGUCUAACUGGUCCUCGGUGUCUCUUUUCUACUGGAGUCUUAACCCUUUCAGCGGAGAUUAAUCGGUAAGAAAGAAGAGCGGAGGACUCUGUGCUUCGGCGUCAGACGUCGAUUGCGGGCGCCGGCUGAAAGUUUUACGGUCCACAGGUGUAGAUUUCAAAAACAAGGUAGAUUUCGAAAUAAUGUAUGCAAAGCAAGACAUGAUUAGUGUGGGAAAUAAAUCAAUUGUGUGAACUAGUUUUGCUUGUUAAUAUGAAGCUUAGCCAAGAACAAGAUGCAUGCUUUCCCCUCGUGACGGUCGGGUCACUCUCUGCUACUCUGCUUCGUUUAUCGUCUUUUCAAUUUACUCUUUAAUAGGAUUCCUCAGCGAGAAUCCUUCUUGUUUUUUUAGGUGUUAAUACCAUAGAUUUUCAUUGCCCAGCCCUUGAGCAAGCAGGAUAUUUUGCCACUGUUUCGUAGUAUUGUGCGCAACCCUUUGUUUUUUUUAUCCUUUUGUGAUUGCUGUUGAUUGUAGUAAUAUUUUAUGGCAGACAUUUUUCUAUCAAGUAAUGAGUCUGUUGACAUGACGACUACCCAAGUUACCCAAACUAUGUCUUUAUACAAUAAAUGCAAUUGUAUACUCCUUUACAUUUGGAACGAGUUGUCUUUCCACGCCUUUUUCACUCAAACCGAAAAUCCUCCCUACAAACAAAAAACGACUCAUAUCGAGACUUCACAAACUACUAGUUUCAUUCUACAUUCAACACAUUUACACAUAGAUUCACAGGGAUUGUACAUCAAAAUUAAAAAGUCGCACCAAAAUUGAAAUGUGGUUAGGUACAAAAUCACUGUCUCAGCUGACCGGUUGGUAUUCCGCCGUCAAAGUAGCAAGGCACUUCACAGGGCCUCAACAAAAGACAGGAUCAUAAUCAGGAUGCUAAUGCAGUCUAUGGAAACAGGCCGGCCAUCGAGGCCAAUGGAGGAUGAACGACUGUUUUGCUGGUGUCAUUGUUCUCCCAUCUCAAACCGUGUAUCGGUUGUCCUGGAAGAAUACUGAGGUCUUCGGAGCAUGGCGGGUAGCACCAGAACAUCUCGUCAUUGUAACGAGAUUUGAGCUUCAUUUUUUUAUGUUUUAACAAAACAAUCCAAGUUAUUGAGGUGAAAUAGUUAUGUACACCGGUAGUUUCAACUGCGAGUCCAGCUGUGAGUGAGGCACCGAGGGGCCCGGGGCCGUGAUGGGGCCCCCCCCGGUGCUCCGUAGAGCCGCUGAGGUGCUGAGGCUUCAGUCCGGCUCUCUGUUCCUCUCCUUGUACAGGUGGAGCUCCUCCAUCUUCUCCUGGAGGAAGCUCACCGGCACGGAGCCUUCUCGGGUGCGAGAGGGCAGGCUGUUGCUCUGCAACUGGACACAAGAUCU
ensembl:lncRNA